UUAAGCGACUAAGCGUACACGGUGGAUGCCCUGGCAGUCAGAGGCGAUGAAGGACGUGCUAAUCUGCGAAAAGCGUCGGUAAGGUGAUAUGAACCGUUAUAACCGGCGAUGUCCGAAUGGGGAAACCCAGUGUGAUUCGUCACACUAUCGUUAACUGAAUACAUAGGUUAACGAGGCGAACCGGGGGAACUGAAACAUCUAAGUACCCCGAGGAAAAGAAAUCAACCGAGAUUCCCCCAGUAGCGGCGAGCGAACGGGGAGCAGCCCAGAGUCUGAAUCAGCUUGUGUGUUAGUGGAACGGUCUGGAAAGUCCGACGGUACAGGGUGAUAGUCCCGUACACCAAAAUGCACAGGUUGUGAACUCGAAGAGUAGGGCGGGACACGUGGUAUCCUGUCUGAAUAUGGGGGGACCAUCCUCCAAGGCUAAAUACUCCUGACUGACCGAUAGUGAACCAGUACCGUGAGGGAAAGGCGAAAAGAACCCCGGCGAGGGGAGUGAAAAAGAACCUGAAACCGUGUACGUACAAGCAGUGGGAGCACCUUCGGGUGUGACUGCGUACCUUUUGUAUAAUGGGUCAGCGACUUAUAUUCUGUAGCAAGGUUAACCGUAUAGGGGAGCCGCAGGGAAACCGAGUCUUAACUGGGCGUUAAGUUGCAGGGUAUAGACCCGAAACCCGGUGAUCUAGCCAUGGGCAGGUUGAAGGUUGGGUAACACUAACUGGAGGACCGAACCGACUAAUGUUGAAAAAUUAGCGGAUGACUUGUGGCUGGGGGUGAAAGGCCAAUCAAACCGGGAGAUAGCUGGUUCUCCCCGAAAGCUAUUUAGGUAGCGCCUCGUGAACUCAUCUUCGGGGGUAGAGCACUGUUUCGGCUAGGGGGUCAUCCCGACUUACCAACCCGAUGCAAACUACGAAUACCGAAGAAUGUUAUCACGGGAGACACACGGCGGGUGCUAACGUCCGUCGUGAAGAGGGAAACAACCCAGACCGCCAGCUAAGGUCCCAAAGUCAUGGUUAAGUGGGAAACGAUGUGGGAAGGCACAGACAGCCAGGAUGUUGGCUUAGAAGCAGCCAUCAUUUAAAGAAAGCGUAAUAGCUCACUGGUCGAGUCGGCCUGCGCGGAAGAUGUAACGGGGCUAAACCAUGCACCGAAGCUGCGGCAGCGACACUAUGUGUUGUUGGGUAGGGGAGCGUUCUGUAAGCCUGCGAAGGUGUGCUGUGAGGCAUGCUGGAGGUAUCAGAAGUGCGAAUGCUGACAUAAGUAACGAUAAAGCGGGUGAAAAGCCCGCUCGCCGGAAGACCAAGGGUUCCUGUCCAACGUUAAUCGGGGCAGGGUGAGUCGACCCCUAAGGCGAGGCCGAAAGGCGUAGUCGAUGGGAAACAGGUUAAUAUUCCUGUACUUGGUGUUACUGCGAAGGGGGGACGGAGAAGGCUAUGUUAGCCGGGCGACGGUUGUCCCGGUUUAAGCAUGUAGGCUGGUUAUCCAGGCAAAUCCGGAUAAUCAAGGCUGAGGUGUGAUGACGAGGCACUACGGUGCUGAAGUAACAAAUGCCCUGCUUCCAGGAAAAGCCUCUAAGCAUCAGGUAACAUCAAAUCGUACCCCAAACCGACACAGGUGGUCAGGUAGAGAAUACCAAGGCGCUUGAGAGAACUCGGGUGAAGGAACUAGGCAAAAUGGUGCCGUAACUUCGGGAGAAGGCACGCUGGUGUGUAGGUGAAGUCCCUGCGGAUGGAGCUGAGACCAGUCGAAGAUACCAGCUGGCUGCAACUGUUUAUUAAAAACACAGCACUGUGCAAACACGAAAGUGGACGUAUACGGUGUGACGCCUGCCCGGUGCCGGAAGGUUAAUUGAUGGGGUUAUCCGUAAGGAGAAGCUCUUGAUCGAAGCCCCGGUAAACGGCGGCCGUAACUAUAACGGUCCUAAGGUAGCGAAAUUCCUUGUCGGGUAAGUUCCGACCUGCACGAAUGGCGUAAUGAUGGCCAGGCUGUCUCCACCCGAGACUCAGUGAAAUUGAACUCGCUGUGAAGAUGCAGUGUACCCGCGGCAAGACGGAAAGACCCCGUGAACCUUUACUAUAGCUUGACACUGAACAUUGAGCCUUGAUGUGUAGGAUAGGUGGGAGGCUUUGAAGCGUGGACGCCAGUCUGCGUGGAGCCAACCUUGAAAUACCACCCUUUAAUGUUUGAUGUUCUAACGUUGGCCCCUGACCGGGGUUGCGGACAGUGUCUGGUGGGUAGUUUGACUGGGGCGGUCUCCUCCCAAAGCGUAACGGAGGAGCACGAAGGUUAGCUAAUCCUGGUCGGACAUCAGGAGGUUAGUGCAAUGGCAUAAGCUAGCUUGACUGCGAGCGUGACGGCGCGAGCAGGUGCGAAAGCAGGUCAUAGUGAUCCGGUGGUUCUGAAUGGAAGGGCCAUCGCUCAACGGAUAAAAGGUACUCCGGGGAUAACAGGCUGAUACCGCCCAAGAGUUCAUAUCGACGGCGGUGUUUGGCACCUCGAUGUCGGCUCAUCACAUCCUGGGGCUGAAGUAGGUCCCAAGGGUAUGGCUGUUCGCCAUUUAAAGUGGUACGCGAGCUGGGUUUAGAACGUCGUGAGACAGUUCGGUCCCUAUCUGCCGUGGGCGCUGGAGAAUUGAGGGGGGCUGCUCCUAGUACGAGAGGACCGGAGUGGACGCAUCACUGGUGUUCGGGUUGUCAUGCCAAUGGCACUGCCCGGUAGCUAAAUGCGGAAGAGAUAAGUGCUGAAAGCAUCUAAGCACGAAACUUGCCCCGAGAUGAGUUCUCCCUGAGACUUUAAGUCUCCUGAAGGAACGUUAAAGACGAUGACGUUGAUAGGCCGGGUGUGUAAGCGCAGCGAUGCGUUGAGCUAACCGGUACUAAUGAACCGUGAGGCUUAACCUU
rnacentral:rRNA from 1 species